GAAAACUAGGUUUCGAAGUGAACAGGAAUUUUGAGUUUGAAAUUCUUUGAAAAGGGCUCGAAACCGAAGAAGAAGAAGACGAUGCGACACCUGAUGAUGACUAGCUAGUAACUAGCUAGUAACUGGCCACUUUCCCAUGAAGUCUAGUUUGUAGUAGGCAGACAUGGCAGACGUGGGCUAAUGGAAGAAAACUGGCGCGCAAAUUAAUGGCCAAGGCAUUAAGUCUAGAACCGUUCCAAAACGAUUCAGACUUAAGGGGGCAUUGUUUAGGCAUAAUUUGACAUGCCCAGCUCAACGCGGAAAAAGCCCAGAAUAAAGACACAGGGGCCAAGCAGUCUGGGCUUCGCAAAAUAAACAAGAAAACAGAGCCCAAAAUCCAACAAAGC
rnacentral:lncRNA from 1 species